rfam:Schistosoma curassoni strain Dakar, Senegal genome assembly, scaffold: SCTD_scaffold0004136
AUCCAGCUGACGUGUCCCAAAUAGGGCAAAACGCGCGUCCAGCUGAAU